rnacentral:rRNA from 1 species
AACUCGUGUAUGUUGCAAAAUACUGGGAUGAAAUGUGUUUAGGGGUGAAAGGCUAAUCAAAUUCGGAUAUAGCUGGUUUUCUACGAAAAUUAUUUACGUAAUGCAUUAAAAUUUAUAACAUAGGGUAAAGCACUUGAUAACUAAAGAAAGGGGUCGUUAAAAACUUCGCUGAUGUUUCUUAAAACUUUGAAUAUAUGUUAUAUAAUAAUUUUAAUAGGCAGAUUAUGAGUGCUAAGAUUCAUAAUCAAAAGGGAAAAAGCCCAGACUUUUAAUUAAGGUUUUUAAAUUAUAAUUUAAUGGUUGAAGCUUUAAAUAUAUAAAGACAGCCAAGAGGUAGGCUUAGAAGCAGCCAUCCUUUAAAGAAAGCGUUCAUGCUCAAUGGUCGAGUAUUUAUUUAGGCAGAAAAUUUGUGAAGCUUUAGUUAUAUACCGAAAUUAAAGAAUUUAUAAAAAUUGGUAGUAGAACGAAUAAUAAUUUAUUUAAUUAGAAAAAUUGUUAAAUUUUUUAUUAAAUUUAAUUUUGUAGAAUGUUGUAC